AGGCUAAUUAUAAGGAGAAAACCCACUCCAGUUGACUAAACCCAGGAAAUUGUUAUAUGUGGCUAGGAUUGAUCCACGUUGCUUGUUAGUUUGAGAGGAGACAAGGGCAUUUUUGACAUUUUCCUUUUAACCUUUUGACUGAUGAAUGUGUAAGUGUGUAAGAGACUUGAUGGCACAUACUUCUUUUCUUCUUUUCAUUAGUUUCAUUUAAUAACUUUGUACUUGAUGUAUCUCUCUCCUCUCUCACAUAAUCUUCAUCAACUGGAGAUAUUCAAAAGUCACCAAACACUCACUCUCUCUCAUAAUCUUCAUCAUACCCUCUCAAUAUUCAGAAUAUCGCCACACAAAAAAGACUAUCGCUGCAGAUUUUCCAAAAUCACCGGACAAAAUCAAACAUGGCUGAGUUGAACAACCAAAAACCUCGGACUGUUGCCGGUGGUACGGCGACACUCAAUGAUCAUCCGGGUUCACCCUUAAAUGUUGUCCCACAUAAUCUUUUACCUGAUUUUGCAUUUAAUGAAGAUGAAGAUGCAUUGGGUGAGAGUAGAGUUGUUGAAGAUCCUGAACCUAUUUCUUCAGUCUCCAGCCUCAGAUCUACAUCAAAUUGGCACAAAUGAUGAUGAGGAUGGUGUUCAGAAUUGUUCUUUUACAGAGCUGCUAUCCAUAGGUCAUUGUUUAUGUGAAAGCAUGAAUUUUUUUCUAUAGGGUUAUUGUAACACCCCUAGUUUUAAUGUUUGUAGUUUGUUAUUAUUAUUAUUAUUAUGUUUUUGUUGGUAUAGGAGGAAAAAAAAACAGAGGAUGUGUUGGUUAGUUUGGUUGAAAAUGUGGUAAACUUGUAUUAACUAUACCAUUUUUAUUUUUUAUUUUUAUGAAACAAGCUUUUAUAUUUUGUAGAAGGUAAAAACAUGUGUGGUUACACUUGUAUUAAGUUUUUAUAUUUUUUGUAAAGGAAAAACAUUCGAGAUUACAUUUUUGGAUCACAUAAAAAAAUGCACCAGCAUCUACACUUUUUGGUGACACCAAAAAAAUGUACCACCAUGUUUUGUUUUUUGUGACAAUACAGU